rnacentral:rRNA from 1 species
AUUGAACGCUGGCGGCAGGCUUAACACAUGCAAGUCGAGCGAGCGGCGGACGGGUGAGUAAUGUCUGGGACACUGCCUGAUGGAGGGGGAUAUCUACUGGAAACGGUAGCUAAUCCCGCCUACCAUCAGAUGUGCCCAGAUGGGUGUAGCUAGUAGGUGGGGGAAUGGCUCACCUCGGCGACGAUCCUUAGCUGGUCUGAGAGGAUGACCAGCCAAACUGGAACGGAGACACGGUCCAGACUCCUACGGGAGGCAGCAGUGGGGAAUAGGGCACAAUGGGCGCAAGCCUGAUGCAGACAUGCCGCGUGUGGGAAGAAGGCCUUCGGGUUGUAAAGCACUUGCAGCGAGGAGGCGUUACUCGCAGAAGAAGCACCGGCGAACUCCGUGCCAGCAGCCGCGGUAAUUC